rnacentral:rRNA from 1 species
AGCCUGAACGCUGGCGGCGUGGCUAAGACAUGCAAGUCGAACGGUGUAGCAAUACACAGUGGCGAAAGGGUGAGUAAUGUAUCGCUAAUGUACCCCGGACUCUGGGAUAGCUGCCCGAAAGGGCAGGUAAUACCAGAUGAUAUAACGUUUCCGCAUGGGAAUGUUCUCAAAGGUCCGCCGGUCUGGGCGCAGGCGAUAUCGUAUCAGCUAGUUGGUGAGGUAACGGCUCACCAAGGCGACGACGCGUAACCGGACUGAGAGGUCGGCCGGUCACAUCGGGACUGAGACACUGCCCGGACUCCUACGGGGGCUGCAGUAACGAAUCUUCCGCAAUGGGCGCAAGCCUGACGGAGCGACGCCGCGUGCAGGACGAAGUCCUUCGGGAUGUAAACUGCUGUCAGGGGUUAGAAAGUUCUGAUCAACCCCAGAGGAAGGCACGGCUAACUCUGCGCCAGCAGCCGCGGUAA